AAAAAAUGAAACGAGUCGACACAGAGGUGGUACUAGAGAAAGUAUCACAAUUGUAUAUACCCUCUUAGGCAAAAACUCAACUCAGUGCUCUCUUGCCUCCAUAUCCCUUUGGGACUGGCCUACUGAUACUCACGCAGUACGGCUUCUUUGUCCCCAUAUGGAACAUGGAAGUAGAGUUCAGUUGAUAGAGACAUCCUAACAAUGCUUCUUCUAAGAGUAACCAAGUUCAUACUCUGAAGCAACAGCACUAGAACUUGCCAGCUCCUUCACAGAGAGCUGGGUUGCCCCAGAACCUCAUCGUCAUGGCAGCCAAGAAAAAAACAUUCAGAACACAGAGUUCAUACUGGCAACUGCCAUUUUAUGAAGCAGAAGGUGGAUUUCACAGGGGCCAGCAGCAGUUGGCAAGGGCACAAGAAAAGGCAAAAGUGCCAGCUGUUUUAUGCACCUUAUUUCUGCCUCUGUUUAAUAAGAGUUGAGACACUGAAAUCAAGCUACCGUAUAAGGACCAUGUGUGCCCAGAGAAGAUCAAGAAGAGAGCCAGGAUGCUCACAUCUAGAUUAUUUAUUACAACAGACUGGAACUGUACAUGCAGUUACUAAUCAAAAGGAAGCUGAGCUCGUCCACACUGGAAAAGUAGGCCAACGCAAGGCUGCGCUGUUCAGAGAACCUUCAUGACCACUACUUCUAGGCGAAGGGGCUGGGGCUUGAUGGUUUCAGUGCAUGGUGCAUGUGUGCAUGCUUUCUCUUUAAGGUGGAACAGCCACUGCAAUAAAGAGCAGGAGGACAUAUGUUGUGAAAGAGUC
rnacentral:lncRNA from 1 species